GUGAAUUUAUGGGGUCGCAUGAACAGCGUGUGUGUGAAAUAGCUUGUCUGGACUUCCUCAACUCACUGUCCUCCAGUGGUGAAUGGCAUUGAUUUACGCAGUCCCGUUCCUGUGUGUGUGUGUUGUGACUCUUGACUGUGUGAGGGGGAUUUUAGCUCUGGCGCAAAGUUUUCUUUAUGGCCUUUUACCCACGGGACUCGGCGUGCCGAACGGGAUGGAGACCUCAUGACUGCAGUCUGGGGCGGCACGUCCCCCCCCUCCUCCUCCCUUCCCUUCCCUCCCCUCCUUUUUGUGUAUCUCCUUUGUCUGAUAAGAGGUUGGGCUCCACGCCCCAUUCAUGUCAUGUGCUGCUCAUCACCAUCGCAUGGCAACAACACACACAAUAACGUGUGUUUAUGUCUCUGACUGACUGGUAGUGUGUGUCUCAGGAAUGUAUUUUGAAUGUGCUUGGAACUUCACAUUUUGCUGUUUGUGUGUGUGGUAUCUAAGUGUUUUAGCAUGUGGUAGCAGUGAUCCAAGGAGCAGUCCUGUGAGUGGUGUUAGGUCCCUGUGAGUAGGUGUGUAUUGUCUGGGUCGCCGGCUUUUAGUACUGCAGGUCCUCCACUUACCAUUCAUCCACACCCACGCCUCUCUCAAUCCAUCCUCUCUCCAUCCAUAUCUAGUCUCUAUCCUCUAUCCAUCCUCUCUCCAUCCAUAUCUAGUCUAUAUCCUCUAUCCAUCCUCUCUCCAUCCAUAUCUAGUCUCUAUCCUCUAUCCAUCCUCUCUCCAUCCUUAUCUAGUCUCUAUCCUCUAUCCAUCCUCUCUCCAUCCAUAUCUAGUCUCUAUCCUCUAUCCAUCCUCUCUCCAUCCAUAUCUAGUCUCUAUCCUCUCUCCAUCCAUAUCUAGUCUCUAUCCUCUAUCCAUCCUCUCUCCAUCCAUAUCUAGUCUCUAUCCUCUAUCCAUCCUCUCUCCAUCCAUAUCUAGUCUCUAUCCUCUAUCCAUCCUCUCUCCAUCAAUCUCUAGUCUCUAUCCAUCCUCUCUCCAUCCAUCCUCUCUCCAUCCAUCUCUAGUCUAUCCUCUAUUCAUCCUCUCUCCAUCCAUCCUCUCUCCAUCCAUCUCUAGUCUAUCCUCUAUUCAUCCAUCUUUAGUCUCCAUCCAUCUUCUCUCCAUCCAUCCUCUCUUGUGGACCAAGGAGCAUUCCAUCCUGUGAUUGUUGCAUGAGAUACUGUAUUACAUUCAGACGCACACACAUACAUGCAUGAACACAUAUGCAAACACACACACACACCUUCAGGGGAUGUUCUCCUUGCUGUAGAACAAACAAGACAAUUUUAUUGAUUUAAUUAGCAAAAGCUUUGGUUCUAAAGUAAAGCAUUUCAAUGAUUGGGUUAUAGGGUUAUGAAAUCCAAUAUCAGUUCUGGCCUCAUCACCCUGCUACAAGCUAUGUCCAACAUCUCACCAAUAAAAGAGAGACAGAGAGCAGUGUUGAUCUGUCAGGUCAAGGUCGGGCUGCUUCUGGAUCAGCUGGAUUGAUCUGUGGACAUAAACAUGUAUGCUGGGCCUGUACACGCCUGUGAUUGAGGGCUUUGGGAGUUUGUGUGUGUCCUCUAUUAAGGAUCUGGCCCCUGGUGGGGGUUAUUCAUUGUGUGUGUGUGUACGUGCCCUCUGGUAUGGGGUGUGUGUGUGUGCAUGCCCUCUGGUAUGGGGGGUGUGUGUGUGUGUGUGUGUGUGUGUGUGUGUGUGUGUGUGUGUGUGUGUGUGUGUGUGUGUGUGUGCGGGCCCUCUGGUUUGGGGUGUGUGUGUGUGUGUGUGUGUGCCCUCUGGUACGGGGUGUGUGUGUGCCCUCUGGUAUGGGGUGUGUGUGUGUGUGUGUGUGUGUGUGUGUGUGUGUGUGUGUGUGUGUGUGUGUGUGUGUGUGUGUGUGUGUGUGUGUGUGUGUGCGUGCCCUCUGGUACGGGGUGUGUGUGUGCCCUCUGGUAUGGGGUGUGUGUGUGUGCGUGUGUGUGUGUGUGUGUGUGUGUGUGUGUGUGUGUGUGUGUGUGUGUGUGUGUGUGCGUGCCCUCUGGUACGGGGUGUGUGUGUGCCCUCUGGUAUGGGGUGUGUGUGUGUGCGUGCCCUCUGGUACGGGGUGUGUGUGUGUGUGCGUGCCCUCUGGUAUGGGGUGUGUGUGUGCGUGCCCUCUGGUACGGUGUGUGUGUGUGUGUGUGUGUGUGUGUGUGUGUGUGUGUGUGUGUGCGUGCCCUCUGGUACGGGGUGUGUGUGUGUGUGUGCCCUCUGGUACGGGGUGUGUGUGUGUGCGUGCCCUCUGGUACGGGGUGUGUGUGUGUGUGCCCUCUGGUACGGG
rnacentral:lncRNA from 1 species